UACGUAGGGUGCAAGCGUUGUCCGGAAUUAUUGGGCGUAAAGAGCUCGUAGGCGGUUUGUCGCGUCGAAUGUGAAAACCCGGGGCUCAACUCCGGGCCUGCAUUCGAUACUGUCAGGCUAGAGGUAGGUAGGGGAGAUCGGAAUUCCUGGUGUAGCGGUGAAAUGCGCAGAUAUCAGGAGGAACACCGGUGGCGAAGGCGGAUCUCUGGGCCUUACCUGACGCUCAGGCGCGAAAGCUAGGGGAGCGAACAGG
rnacentral:rRNA from 1 species